GUGUGUAGUGUCUGUAGGUGUGUGUACUGUACUGUAGGUGUGUGUACUGUACUGUAGGUGUGUGUAGUGUCUGUAGGUGUGUGUACUGUACUGUAGGUGUGUGUAGUGUCUGUAGGUGUGUGUAGUGUCUGUAGGUGUGUGUACUGUACUGUAGGUGUGUGUAGUGUCUGUAGGUGUGUGUACUGUACUGUAGGUGUGUGUACUGUGCUGUAGGUGUGUGUAGUGUCUGUAGGUGUGUGUACUGUACUGUAGGUGUGUGUAGUGUCUGUAGGUGUGUGUAGUGUCUGUAGGUGUGUGUACUGUACUGUAGGUGUGUGUAGUGUCUGUAGGUGUGUGUACUGUACUGUAGGUGUGUGUAGUGUCUG